rnacentral:rRNA from 1 species
CCUACGGGAGGCAGCAGUGGGGAAUAUUGCACAAUGGGGGAAACCCUGAUGCAGCGACGCCGCGUGAGUGAAGAAGUAUUUCGGUACGUAAAGCUCUAUCAGCAGGGAAGAAAAUGACGGUACCUGACUAAGAAGCCCCGGCUAACUACGUGCCAGCAGCCGCGGUAAUACGUAGGGGGCAAGCGUGAUCCGGAUUUACUGGGUGUAAAGGGAGCGUAGACGGCAGCGCAAGUCUGGAGUGAAAUCCCAUGGCUUAACCAUGGAACUGCUUUGGAAACUGUGCAGCUAGAGUGCAGGAGAGGUAAGCGGAAUUCCUAGUGUAGCGGUGAAAUGCGUAGAUAUUAGGAGGAACACCAGUGGCGAAGGCGGCUUACUGGACUGUAACUGACGUUGAGGCUCGAAAGCGUUGGGAGCAAACAGGAUUAGAUACCCUUGUAGUC